AUUUUUCAUCCAGCCAUUAGCUAAGGAUGGAAUUUAUUCACCUCAUCUCUCCUGCAUAUAUUUAACUCCUUUGUUAACAUCACCAGCUAGAACUGCUGCUAUGGGAAGAUACCAUCAGCAGUCCCUAGACCACAGGGUCUUGAGUUAUGUUUUACAAAAACAUCUGACAGCUCCAGCAACACCACUCAUCUCUUGGCUGCCCACAAGCAGUGAGGACAGAGCUGGGGUACAGCACAGGGCUGGGGGCCUCCAGCACCACACAUGGCUACCAGUGCCCUGCCACUCACACUGUUUUGGCCUUCAACAGCCCCUGGUGCUGCAGCCCCAUCAGGCUUUGGAGCUCUUUCAACUGGCUUUUUUACAGCAGCAUUCAGUAUGUUGGUCUGCUGUGUAAGGCUAGUUCCCAUACUAUCUACUUGCUGUAGAUUGAAGCUGAAGCACAACGCUCAAAUCCAGAGUCCUUCAGUCCUUCAUCCUGGGCUCCUGACAGAAGUUUCGCAAUGCUUAACUCUAACUAUCACCCUGCUUUCUAAUGAUCUUCCUACUAAUCACCCUUCUGGAAAUUUCAAAUUGAACUUGACCACCUGAGCUACUGUAUUCCUCAUCUCUGAAGAUACACUGCAUAACUUGAUACUCGGAGUGACAAAUUUACUUUCUCCCUGUGAAACAUUGAGGGAAAAAUCUGAAAAGUGCAAAACGCUGACAUCUUUUGAUAACUUGCUCUGGCCUUUUAUUAUUUACUCUAUAUUAAACAGUGUAGUAUUUAUACUACCAACUUUUUCAUUAGAAUAGCAGUUAUAAUUACUCUGGGUUUUACUACUGUUAUCUGCAAGUUCUCAUGAUAAACAUUAUCAAGGACAUAUCCCUUUACUUGACAAAAAGAAGCUCUCUUCCUGUUAAUUUAUUUACUUGGGGUUUGGAAGAACUUGAACAGCAGAGUAAGCACUGUAAGCAAAUAAGUUAUUAAAAGCAUAUUAGGAAUGAUUUAGAAUGGUUCCACAAACUGGAACCUGUAAUGGGAAAGACUAGAGGAUGACCCCUAUGAAGAACAGUGCAGAGCAAGGAAGAGUGGAGAUAUCCCAAGAUAUUUCUGUUAGUACAUCCCAGAGCACACACAUCCCCUGGCACCUCAGAGCAAUGCUACAGGACUGGUGCCAAGACUGCUCAUUUAUUAAUUUAUUCUACCUGCAAAAGGAUAUGAAGAAUCUGACACUUUGGGGUUAGUGAUUUAUUUAAAUUCUUCCUUACUUCUAUCUUCAUUUUAUUUUGUUUCCUCUUAACAUUACUUCUGAAUGAGAUCAAAAUAUGCUUAAUCAUUAAAAAGUACCUGACACUUUCUGUAAAAGCAGUAAUAUUUGCUUUUGUUGUAGCUUCUGCUGUAGAAAGAGUAGAGUUAGAAGCAAUAAAUAUUGAAGCUCAAGGAGAAAGGCUGGGGAUUAAUUUGAAUGAUUUCUACACACAAUAGAGUUUCAGUACAUAACACCCAUCUUUCAAUAUGUUUAAUACAAUGCAGCUGGUAUUAAUUCUUACUUGCUGUAGCAUAUAUUGCUAAUUAAACAGUUCUGUCCUGCUCUAAUUUCUGUUUAGUUGUUUGCAUAUAUUUCCUUAUUUUGUGCUGGCACAUUGAAUUGGUGAUUUGUCCCCUUGAUGUAAGCAGAAUUGAAAGAGGCAAUAGCUGAACACAAGCUGCAUUGGGAAAGU